rnacentral:rRNA from 1 species
AGUGAACGCUGGCGGCAGGCCUAACACAUGCAAGUCGAACGGCAGCACAGGAGAGCUUGCUCUCCGGGUGGCGAGUGGCGGACGGGUGAGGAAUACAUCGGAAUCUGCCCAGUCGUGGGGGAUAACCUCGGGAAACCGGGACUAAUACCGCAUACGACCUACGGGUGAAAGCAGGGGACCUUCGGGCCUUGCGCGAUUGGAUGAGCCGAUGUCGGAUUAGCUAGUUGGAGGGGUAAUGGCCCACCAAGGCGACGAUCCGUAGCUGGUCUGAGAGGAUGAUCAGCCACACUGGGACUGAGACACGGCCCAGACUCCUACGGGAGGCAGCAGUGGGGAAUAUUGGACAAUGGGCGCAAGCCUGAUCCAGCCAUGCCGCGUGAGUGAAGAAGGCCCUCGGGUUGUAAAGCUCUUUUGUUGGGAAAGAAAAGCAAUCGGUUAAUACCCGGUUGUUCUGACGGUACCCAAAGAAUAAGCACCGGCUAACUUCGUGCCAGCAGCCGCCGUAAAAC